AUUCAAUCACUCAUCACCCAUGCAACAGGACCCAAGGAUUGAGAACAAUGGACUUUUUGAUGUGUGUUGCAACAAACUCAUAGCCGAGGGCUGUAAACCGGAGGGAUCACCAGGUCUGCCUACCAGUCACCAGGCAAGUGGGGAGAAGCUGUCACCCCAACUUGAGUUUCAAGAAGACUCCUUGGAAGAAAAGACCACCAAAUUGAGAAUGAAAAGAUCAUACACGGGGGUCGUCAGACAUGGUCUGAGACCUGCUGCGAAGAACAGCAGCCUGGCCCUGCUACCCCCUGGCUUCUGCUCACAGCACUGACCCCAGCUAAUCCAAGAACAUGUCACCUAUAAUGAGGAUAUUGAAGAAAAAUCAACCAUCUUCCAGAUGUGUCUAUAUCAUGAUACGGUACAUGGGUAAGGACAGUAAGUUGUAGCUAUUCUUGAGAUGGGGCAGUGGCUCCAUGCUCUGGCCCCCGACCCCAGCAGCCAUCCCAGCUCAUCGCCCUGAGUGCCGGCUUUCCCAUCCCAUCUCAGGAUCUGCACUGGACGGGCACCAGGUCUUUCUUCAGCGAACAUCUAAACUCUCUCAAGUGUCUCCAGAGACUUUCACAUGUCUACAAAGAUGACCUCAUUCUGUAAGAGCAUGGAUUUAACUUGCUCUACGAUGUCACUCCUUCACAGAGUGCACUGUUCAUCGUCACCCUAUUCACUAGCGUCAGUCUUACUAAAAGUCAAACAUCAAUGUUAGUGGUAACUCUGGAGGCCUGGCAUUGUAGCGAUAUCCCCAGGAGAAAAUUGUUUUGAACCUUUCUGGGAAAAGUUCACGUACGUUUUAUUCAAACACUAGUUUUUAUAACCUCGCUACCAUGUGACUUUCCUGAAGGAUGAAAUUUCUGACGUCCUUCAAGUAGAGAGAGAGAAAAAUUUUUCUAGAACAUUAAUUGCCCACUCCUCUCAUCCCUUCUCAGAAACUAACUGAAUUCCAGUGGGUGUGCCUGGCAAACCCAAACACGGUUUUCCGUUCAGGAUGCUGGUCUUACCUGUGAAGGCGUUCAUGCACGUGGAGAGGGACCGGUUCAACAUUUUGAAGAAAGGGUCUCUGCACGGAUAUUUCCGAGACCCACAAAGGAUGGUAUGCUCAAGAAUGUGAGGAACACCGGUGCUGUCCAUGGGAGUGGUGCCGAACUGCAUGCUAGGGAAGAAGGAAUGGCAUGCCAGGGAAGGGAGAGGAACAGAACGCUAGGCAAGGAGAAUGACUAGAAUACAAAACGUUCAUCUAAGUGCUGCGGACACAGUUCCCAGAUGCAUCAUCACCUCAGGCUACUAGAAAUCAUCAUUCUGACACCACAAUCCUCCAACACGGGGUUUCCCAACUCUAAUGUAAAUCAUUGAUUCAGACUAAAAAUUGUAUUUUGAUGAGAUUGUAAGUCCGUGUAAGCUUUUCCUUAUUUUUCAAGAUGCUCUGUCAAUAAAAAUACUAGUGAGAUGAUAUUUAAACCAC